rnacentral:rRNA from 1 species
UUAUAAGAACCUUCCCUGGCCUUGACAUCCUUCGAACUUUUUAUGAUAGAUUGGUUCCUUUGGGAGGACAGAGACAGGGGGUGGAUGGCUGUCGUCAGCUCGUGUGGUGAGAUGUUGGGUUAAGUCCCCCAACCAGCGCAACCCUUAUNUUUAGUUGCCACCACGUUAUGGUGGGAACUCUAAAGAGACUGCCGGUGACAAACCGGAGGAAGGUGGGGAUGACGUCAANUCAUCAUGGCCCUUAUGGCCNGGGCUACACACGUGCUACAAUGGUCGGUACAAAGGGNAGCCAAACCGCGAGGUGGAGCCAAUCCCAUAAAGCCNAUCUUAGUCCGGAUUGCAGUCUGCAACUCNACUGCAUGAAGUCGGAAUCNCUAGUAAUCGCGGAUCANCAUUGCCACGGUNAAUACNUUCCCGGGUNUUGNNCACACCGAAA